rnacentral:rRNA from 1 species
UACGUAGGGUGCGAGCGUUAAUCGGAAUUACUGGGCGUAAAGCGUGCGCAGGCGGUCCGCAAAGUCUGAUGUGAAAGCCCCGGGCUCAACCUGGGAACUGCCUUUGGUACUGACGGUCUGGAGAUCGGGAGAGGUUGGUGGAAUUCCGAGUGUAGAGGUGAAAUUCGUGGAUAUUCGGAGGAACACCAGAAGCGAAGGCGGCCAACUGGCCCGAUACUGACGCUGAGGCGCGAAAGCGUGGGGAGCAAACAGG